rnacentral:rRNA from 1 species
CGGGUGAGUAAUGUCUGGGAAACUGCCUGAUGGAGGGGGAUAACUACUGGAAACGGUAGCUAAUACCGCAUAACGUCGCAAGACCAAAGAGGGGGACCUUCAGGCCUCUUGCCAUCGGAUGUGCCCAGAUGGGAUUAGCUAGUAGGUGGGGUAACGGCUCACCUAGGCGACGAUCCCUAGCUGGUCUGAGAGGAUGACCAGCCACACUGGAACUGAGACACGGUCCAG